CCUUCUUUAAAACCCUCGCCUUCCCACGACGAUGCCAUUCCUUUCCACGCCUGACCGCCGUCGCUGAAUGCCACCGCCGAGUCCUCCCCUCGCCGUCCGAUGCCGUGGCGGAGCCACGUUAAUGCCUCCGCCUCGCCCAGGACGUUGUCACCGCCGCCUCCUCGUCGCCGCUAACCCUAGCCUCUCCUUGAGUUUACCUGCAUUCAUUUAUUACUCCCUUUCCGUGCUGCUUGUCGAGUACGUGGUUGUACUCAGUCUUGCGUAAUUUUCCCCUUCAGUGGUAGAUUACUAUUGAGAUGGAGGUGACCCAGAGGUUUGAUGCUUGUCCAAUGUCAAGAUGUUGUUUGUGUAUUGGAGCCAAGCUGCGUUGGAGCCCGACGUCUUUUACUUUGUUUUCCGCUGCAUGUCGUUAGACUUUAAUUGUCAUUUAUUAUUGUUUCUAAGAACAUUGGUGAUGUAAUCGACUUUGUCUAUUGGUGUACCCUGGCUAGUCCUGGACGGGGAUUUAAUACAUAACAAAGUUCGGAAAUUCGUGUAA